AACGAACGCUGGCGGCAUGCCUAACACAUGCAAGUCGAACGAGACCUUCGGGUCUAGUGGCGCACGGGUGCGUAACGCGUGGGAACCUGCCCUUAGGUUCGGAAUAACGUCGGGAAACUGACGCUAAUACCGGAUAAUGUCUUCGGACCAAAGAUUUAUCGCCUUUGGAUGGGCCCGCGUAGGAUUAGCUAGUUGGUGGGGUAAUGGCUCACCAAGGCGACGAUCCUUAGCUGGUCUUAGAGGAUGAUCAGCCACACUGGGACUGAGACACGGCCCAGACUCCUACGGGAGGCAGCAGUGGGGAAUAUUGGACAAUGGGCGAAAGCCUGAUCCAGCAAUGCCGCGUGAGUGAUGAAGGCCUUAGGGUUGUAAAGCUCUUUUACCCGGGAUGAUAAUGACAGUACCGGGAGAAUAAGCCCCGGCUAACUCCGUGCCAGCCGCCGCGGUAA
rnacentral:rRNA from 1 species